rnacentral:lncRNA from 1 species
GCUGACAGCACAACAAUCUCAGAGAGUUUUGGCCUCAGCCGUUUGACUCUAAUCAGGAAAUCAUUUUUAGAAAGAUUUGUCAGUGUAAGAAAACAAGCUCCUGAACUAAAUUAGGAUCUGGAUUAUUUUUCCCUCCUCUCUCGAUCUGCAGUGCAAGGCAGAGUGGUGAGCCAUCACGGUUUUGUGUGUGGUGAAUUUGUUUCCACUGCACAUUUUAAUUCGGAGCUCCUGAAGGUGUCUGUGUUUGUAAGGACUGUGUUUUUGGAGCUGCUCCCUCGGAGGUUUGGUGCUUGUUUCUCCUUCCCUCAAACUGGUUGGCUUUUUUGGCAAGACCGCCUAGGCUUCAGGAUUCUUUAGUCUAAUUUUCUUCUCCUUUUUCUUUUUUUUUCACCCCAGUAAUGAAUUCACGGCAUGUCUCUGGGAAAUUAAGAUUCAGCCAUGUCUUCCUAGGAUCCAGCAUCCAAACCUGGACCAAAGUCCUCGGAUCCUCAGCAAUGGGGGUGCAUCUGGUGAUGGUGUUCAUGCUAAAUUUGUGCCAAGAGACACCUGUACUUGUGGGAGAAUUAAUAUUUCACUUCUGUUUAGGUUUCUUUUCUGGGAGCUGCUAUCACUGAAUACAUAAAGAAAUUGAGCCUAUAUGAUUUCAAUCUUCACCUUCUGAUGCUGAUGAAACAGGAUUCUAUGCAGUUUUCCACAGGGAGAAGCAGCAGGCUGAAGUGGCUCUUUAGGGAGACACAUACCUCCACAGGAAGAGCAGUCUAGAUUGUUUUAGCACAUUCCACUUAAGGAUUGCAGUGUGACAGCAGACCCAAUUGAGUCUGGAAGUAGCUCUGGGAUUUGCUGCAUGUUGCUGGCCCUGAGUUUUGGAGAGAAGCCCUGAUAAGACUAAGAGGGAUGCUGAUAACCUGGAGGGACAUUGAUGACGUAUACCUGUGCCUCCUUCCACUUUAUUUGGCUGGCUGCCUCCCUAUGUCCCGGCUUAGGUUUUUUCUUUUUCUCCUGGAGAAGACGAGUGGAGUCUGGCUCCUGCUUUUACCUCCUUACGGAGGAUCUUGCAGGCUUAGGAGCCCCAUUUCUGGGAGCUUUCAAUUUUGACAACUGCAAAUCCUUCUGCCUUCCAUGUGGAUGCAUUUGUUGAGCACUCGAAGCUCCUUGGAUUCCUUUUGCAUCUGGCAAGAAGGAAUUUUCUCUCCUUGUGCAUCUGCAGAGAUUGUGCUGUCAUUCCAGGAGACCUCACACUAGCAUUUGUGGGGUCCAGGGACAGUUCUGAGUUUGAAUCUAGUCUCACACUGUGUGACCUUGGGCAGAUUACUUAGUUUCUCUGAACUUCGGGGCAUCCCUUAAUUGCUUGAUAGGGAUAAUAAUGCCAGACUCAAAAGGUUAUUGCAAAGGCUAGAGGAGCCAAUAUUUGCCAAGUGUUUAACAGCAUGUGGCACACAAUGCCUGUUCAAACACUGGCAGCUAUCAUUAUUAGUGAAGUUUUUCUAAACAUGCAUUAAGCAGGCAGCACUUGAAGUCGUGGCUAACAAAGUCUCACAUUCUCUGUUGGUCCUGGGGGUAAAAUUUGAAUGAGACUCUCAUGCCUCUGCCUGCAAGGAGCUUGUUAUUCAAUGGAUGAGACUGGCAAUGAAACAAUUAAAAUAUAGCACAGGAAGUUCUAUGGAAGGAUGGUGGUGGUGGGGGACAUCACAGAUCACAAAAGGAACACGUAGGAGGGAUAUCUAAUCCAGUCUAAGAUCUGCCACCAUCCCUCCCCAGGCUGGACUGAGGCUCUGAAAGCUGACUGGGAGCAGGGAGGGAUAAGGAGCAAAGGCAGUGCUGGGAGCCUCCUGUUUGUAGAGAAGUAACCAUUCCUGCAAUUCCCUCCACAUCCUCAGCAAGGACAAGCCUGCUGCUCCCAUGAUGUCACUUUGCCCUUUAAAAAUUGUGUACGGGCUGGGCACGGUGGCUCACGCCUGUAAUCCCAGCAGCACUUUGGGAGGCUGAGUCAGAAGGAUUAUUUCAGCCCAGGAGGUUGAGACUGCAGUGAGCUGUGACUGCGCCACUGCGCUCCAGCCUGAGAAACAAAGUGAGACCCUGUCUCAAAAAGCAAAAUGCAAGAAACAAAUAACAAAGUUGUGUGUGGUUCCACCUGAUUUAUCUUGGCAAUUAUGUGUAGUAUAGAUUGAGCAUACCUAAUCCAAAGAUCUGAAAUCCAAAACAUUCCAAAAUUUGAAAUUUUCUGAGUGCCAACAUGACAUCGCAAGUGGAGAAUUCCACAUAGAAAAUCCUCUCCAGUCAAGUAAUUGCAUCCAUUUCAUCUUCCCAGCCCUCCUCUAGAUGGGAGGUGGAGGUGUGUGUACCAAUCUCUUAAUUCAGAAAUGAGACAAGAGGAGGAAAAAGGAGUUCCGGAGGUGUGUGAUCCAAGUCUGGCUGCAGGCUAUGGACAUUCCAGGAGGGAGACUCCAUCAGAGAAGUGGAGCUGGAGUUGGGUGUUAGAGGGUAAAGGGAGGGUUUGAACAGGCAAGGGAUGGGGGAGGAGUGCCUUACAGUGGGAGAGGGAGAGGCUGCUUGAAAAAGCAUAGAGCUGUGAGUGAGCAUGCGUGCCCAAGGAGAGGGAGCCAGGCACUGCCAGGGUGCAGGUGGGGCAGACUGGCUAGGUGUGUGGCCAGGGUGUGGAAGGAACAUGCUAAGUGUGACAGUUAAUUUAUGUGUCAUCCUGGCUAGGCUAUGGUGCUCAGUUGUUUGGUGAAACAUCAGCCUAGAUGUUGCUUCAAAGGUAUUUAUUAAAUGUGUAAUUUAAAUCAUAGACUUUGAGUAAAGCUGAUCACCUUACGUAAUGUGAGUGGGUCUCGUCCAAUCAACUGAAGGCUUUAAGAGCAAAGACAAAGGUUUUUCAAAGAGAAAAAGAAGACUCUCCUCAAGACUGUGACAUAGAAACUCUGCCUGAAUUUCUAGCCUGCUGCCCUGCAGAAUUUAGAGUCAAGCCUACAACAUAACUCUUACCUGAAUUCUCAGGCUGCUGACUUACCCUGCAGAUUUUGGACUUGCCAGCCCCUCACAAUCCCAUGAGCCAAUUCCUUAAAAUAAAUCUCUCUUUUUCCCUCUGUAUAUAUUUAUGUCCUAUUGAUUUUGGUUCUCUGGAGAGCCCUGACUACUACACUGAGUGAAGGGAGGGCUUUGCUAAGUGAUCAUGGUCCCAAGGGCAGCCUCUGAGAGCCCGCUCCUUUUGCAGGAUAUUUGAAGACCAGACCUUGAGUCAAAUUCUGCAGCCAAAUUCAAUGCCCAUAAGACUUUCUGCUCAGAAGACGUCAUGCAAAGGGAAUCCCCAGGGCUCUUUAAAUUAGAUCUUCUGUUUGUGCAGACACGUGAUAAAUGUUUUGGGUACAGCCUGGCUCACACCACAUUUUCCACUUUUUGGGUGGAGUCAGUUUUAAUUGACAAGAAGUGCCUUUACAGGUGGACUUUUUUUUUGGUGGUGGAGGGGAGUAGUUAAAACCGAUGCUUUGCAUUCUGUUGGGCAGCAGAAAGAUUGCUUUUUCAAUAAGCAAGCCUUGGGUUUUUCUGAGCCAGUGGUAUGAGAAAUGCCUCUCCUGAAGGCCACCACGCAAGCGAGUCCCCACAGAAGCAUGCCCGAGCUGUCAGGUGCAGGGAGAAAUAUCUUUAGUAAGAGCCGGUCAUGUAAUGAGACUUCCCCACCACAGCAUAGAUGGGCAGAGGGGUUUCCACAAGGACAAUUCUUAAGAAUCUCUGUAAAAACGCAUGACUCCAUCUGUCUCCUCUCUCUUCUUUGGCUUCAGAUGAGCUGAGCCAUUUAAAAAUUCCCCAACAAGGGACCCCAGGCACCAGAAGAAGUGAUGAACAGAUUUUCAAUUUGGCCCUGAUUUGCAUAAAUUUUUUUUUUCUGGCAGUUGAAAUCAUUGAGACUAGAGGCCGGAGAUGGGUAGUAGUGGGUUUUCCCCAUCUGAAGCGGAUUCUUGAUUGGUCUGGAAAGACUGCUGGAGCUCCUGGGUGCAAGGCUCUGACCAGCAGAGCUGGUCAGCAGAGCUGACUGCUCUGGGUGCAGCUUCUCCAGAGAAGGAAGAGAUGGCAAAGAGGAAGGCCUGGGGUUCAGAGAAGGACUUUGCAACCCCAAUGGGGAGUCAGAUCCUCAGGUCUCCUCCUAGAGCGGCUGCCUGGUAACUUUCCCAGUGUCCUUCAGGGAGCAUCUCCUCGUCCGUGUGGCUGGUUUCUUCUGAUAGGAGGCUACCUUGUAAUUUCUCACUGACAGGACAGUGGGGACCCCAGCCAGAGCCUGGGGACUUGGCUGCCUUGGAACCAGAACCUGGCCCCUCAGAGGAGUUGCAGAAUUUCGAUAGAGGAGUGGCAGGAGGUGUACUGGCUGAAGAGGAGGCCCAAGGAACUCCUUUUCAUACAUCAAAACUGAGCUUAUCACCUCUACCCUGAAGUCAUCCUGGACAUCACUGGUCCCAGUUAAUCACUCACUUAUCUUUGCCAUCCUUGACCUGGUGAGUACAGUCUUUAUACCAUUUAUCAAUUAGUUAUAAUAUAUUUAUCAAUUUGUUAUAAUUGGAGAGUUGUAAAGGAUAUUAACCAGGCCCAGUUCAGGCAGUUUACAGGUGUGUGGGCACCCCGUCUGCUAUAGAUCUUUUGGUCCUAGAUUUCUAUAGCACAACGCUUAUCACUUAUUAAGUACUAAAGUUUCUGAUUUUUAUAAACGGAACUGAAAUGAAUCCCAAUUACUGACCUGUGGGACUCCCAGCCCUUUGACAUCUUGGUCCUGCCCAAAGUCAGGAGUACAUUUCCAGAGGGCUCUGCAGUGGGAAAUAGUGGUGGGAGUCUGUGUGUAUUCAGCUCGAUGCAUGCCCUAUGUUAGGUGUUUUCCCUUUUGCAGGCUGGAGUGAGCCCUUGAGCUGACCCAGAAGUUCUGAGCAUUUAUCACCCAGUAUUGAUGACCAUGUAUUUUGCCUCCUCUCUUUAUGCCUAAAGAUGAAGGAAGAAAUACAAGCUCAUGUUACAAAGAGUAUUUCCUGGGUUUAUCAGCUCUCCCCCUCUCAGCUUGAGCUCUGAAUGAUUUCUUAGUUCUCAGCUUUUCUUCCUCUGAUCAAAGUGCCUGAGGCAGUGAGCACUGGGAGGGCAGGAGCAUUUCUGGCUGAGCCCAAUGCUCACCUCUUCUGGGCCGUUUUAGGAAGCUGUGGCCCAGUGUUCUCUGGUCAGACAAGCAUGGCCUGGCUGUGGAAGGGUCUCCAAAGGCUCAUGGGUCCCAGGUGCCCUGGAUUUUGAAGGCAGCUGCCCUGCCUCCACUGGGAGAAGAUUAAAGCCCCCUUUGCCUUUCUUCGUCCCUCCCUUUCCCACUCUGUUCACUCAAUCACUCUUUUCUCUCCAAUGAAUUAAAUGCAGAAAAUCCAUGAGCAGGAUUUCUCUCUUCAAAGGACCAAAUAACCUUCUUUCUAUUCCCCCUAAAUUUUUUUCCAAACUGCAAAAAGAAAACAUGCAAACAGACUUCAAGUUAAAGGUGAGAGAAAGAAAGAAAAAUUGAAGCAAAGUAAUUUUAACUUGAGAAGUAGAGCAGUUUAAACCCAGAAAAAAAAUGUACACUCCGCAAUAUAGUCCUUUCCUACAAAUUAAUUAACCCAAAGUACUUGUUUAAUUAGUGUGAGGGGUAGGGAAUUGAGUAGCUAACAAUAUCUCUCACCCAGUUUAGAAUUAUGUUCACAAAAGAAUUUCUUCUUCUUUUCCUGAAAGGGAAGAGAACGUUGCCCUCAUUGGUCUGGAAUCAGCAGGUACCUCAUGGCUGGAGGUGUAUUUUCAGACUCCUUUGGCAUCUGGUGAGGCCUGUGGAUUCAUUCUCAGAAUCACAUUUUUAAAUGCACAUAAUAAAAUACAUAGAAUUGCAAAGGAAGUUAAUUAUAUUGAAAUACAGUUAUCAAAAAUAUAAAUAAAACAAGUAUGUGGUACAGUCAUAUGUGUGCUUCUUUAUUAAGUCAUUACAAAGCAAGAUCUAUUUGGAGGUCUAAUAACUGUCAUAUGCUUGAAAAAAUCCUUAACAAUCAUAAUAUAUUAAAAAAUCUGAUUUCUACUUUGGCAAAUCAUAGAUAUUGCUGAAACUGUGGUUUAUUGCCUGCAUUCAUAAUUGAAGGAAAUGCUAGAGUUCAGUGAGAAGGUUGUGAAAAUAAAGAGAGCCUUUUUUUCUCAUCAAGGUUCCUUGGACCUCUGAAUUCUUUUCAUGGAUCUUUUGGUGUUAGGUGAUCAUGUCUGAAGCAGUGACUCCUGGUGAUUAUUUAUCUUUCACUUUGGAUGUCUGAUCAGAAUAAAGCACCCAUCUUAAAGCCAAAAAGUGAUAAUGAUGGAAAAUGGGCCAUGGCAUGAUGGGGCAGCAACAUUUUCACCUGUUUGUAAAACACUGAAAAAAAUGUGACCUCAGAUAAGUAAGUGUCCUCCAGUGAGAAAGUAAUUAUUUCCCACCGACCACAUGAUAAGUGUACAGGUGAGUAAAACUUGGGCAGUUGAGGGAAAGUUUAUCUAGACGAAUGGCUGGUAAUUCAGGCCCUAGAGACAGAACUAGAAGGAACUCAGAUGAGGCCCAUGGUCAGCUCAGCCAAGGGCAGGGUGAGGGGUGUGGGGCCAUAGCAUUCAGGGGCAAGUUUCCACAGGUGACUUCUUCCUUGGUCAACUCUGGUAACUUUCCACACUCACAAUUUCCACCGUAUUGGCACUUGGUUAUCCAUUCCUGACCUGCCUCUUCUCCUUGUUAAUUAAUUUCCUGCUUCUGAUUGGAAUUGCCGUGGGUGAUCACUUCUGCAUCUACAGGUAAUCAAUCCAGGGAUGGGUGUACUCUUAUUUUCACAGUUCUGUUUCCUGUCUUCUCAGCCCACAGAGGCACUUUCUCCUGGAUGCACUCAGCACUCACACAGGGAGGAGAGAGCAUCUCAGGCCCUGGAAUGCCCCAGGGAAGGGGGACUGAAAGAAGGACACUUCCUAAUUUGUAUUUUAUUUGACACUUAUCUAGCAUUUAAUGUGCACUAGUCAUUGUUGCAAUUGUUUUACAAAUUUAAUUAUUUAAUCCUUACAACCACUAUACUCCCCAUUUUUAAAAAAACAGAAAUGAAGAAACUAAGACCCAGAGAGAUUGCAUAACAUGGCCAAAGUCACACAGCUAUCAAAUAGCUGAGGUAAGAUUCAGAUCCAGUUAGUCUGACUCUAGAACAACACUGCACAAUACAAAUAAGAUGUAAGGCACCGAUGACAAGCCCAGUACAUAAUUUACAAUUUUGUAGUAGUCACAUUAAAAACAUUUUAAAAAUAAACAGGGAAAUUAACUGUAAUAACUUAUUUUCCUUAACCAAUCUAAAAUGUUACCAUUUUGACAUGUAAUCAAUAUUGAAAAGUAUUAAUGUGAUAUAUUCGUUCCUAUUAACUCUUCAAAAUUGUGUGUAUUUCAUACUUACAGCACAUGUCAGUUCAGACUAGUGUCAUUUCAAGUGCUUAGUAGCCACCAUGCUGAGCAACGCUUCUUUAAGUCUUGCUCUUCACCAGUGGGCUAUGCUGCCCCUUGGCUAAACUGCCCAUGGAGCUCAGAAGGACCUCGAAGGUAGGGCUUUUAAAAGAGCUGCUGGGUAGCAGAGGUGUGGCCAUGAUGCACAGACACAGGGAGAAACACAGUGGGAAACAUACCAGUGACACUACCACCCCCGUACAUCAGGGAGCAACCCAAAGAUUCCCAUCCCCUUGAGAAAUUGGAGAAGGCUUCUCCUACAGUUUGUGGGUAUUCUGCGAGCUGGGAAAGUGUCUUCUUGAAGACUGCCCCAACCCUGUGUGUGCAGCAGAUGCCUGGAGCCCAAGGAAGAGCCUUGCUCACUAAGAGUCACCACAAUGAAGAAGCCACACCCAUAAGGCCAACACUGUGGCAAGAAGAGAAGGAAAAUGGAAAGUGUCUCCAAUUUUCUCUAGUGGCUCCUGCAUCUUAACUGUCCCAUAUUCUGUGUAUCAGUCUUUUGUUAUUUAUUUAUUUAUUUUGUUGUUUUCCAUUUUAUUCCUUGAAUGGAUGAGAUGUAGUUUACAAAGAUAGUUGGAUGAUGGCAAGAUGACAUAAAAGACUCCAAAACAUGAGGCAGAGGGGAAGUAAGAAUAGGAAAGAUGAAUGGAAUCAGGUAUGAAGUGGGUUCAAAAAGUGCAUCCCUUAGGGUCUUGCUUAAUUGCUAGAGAUGGGCUGUAUUGAUUGCAGUCUAAGCUUCCCAACAGCCUAGGCCAAGAGGGAAGCACAGUGGUUACAGGAAUCACAGUGUAAUUAAACAAAAACAAGCAGGAGCUAGAAGCGGGGUGGGGGACACUACUGUUUUAGAUUCAGAGGCCUGAGAGAAGGCUAUCUGAACUUCUUGAAAAGAGACAUCAUCCAGUCUCGAUGCUAUCCUCAGCAGGACACUGAUGUAAAAUCCUCCCUACCCUUCCAUGCACCCAGAGUUUCCUUUCCUGCCCCUGUUUAGACUGAGGGCUUAUCUCUAGCUAUUCUAUAGCUAUUGUGAAGCAUGCAAUGCUUCCCAGAUACUCAGCACUCAGAUAAACUGGCUUAGUCUGGGGUCAGUUUAAAUGAUUUAGAUCAAUGCAUUUUUGUGCAGAACUACUGUGAGUUCACCAAAGCCUGUCUCCUUUCCCUCCUCAACACUUACCAUGAGUGCUUUUCCCAGCCUUCAUUGCAACUGGGUGUGGCCUCGAGACUGAAUGUGGGCAGAAGUGUUUGGAAAGUAAAUGUGUUCCCUCUAAAACCCCUUUUUCCCUAUCUGCUGUCUGGAAGGAAAAGGAUAUCAGGACCCACAGGAGGGUGGAGUCGCAGGAAAGAAGAAGCCUGGGCUCCUGGAGGCCUGGGGGAAGGAUACGGAGCCGGAAAACCUUAAUUGGACUGUGAUGUACAUGAGAAACUAACUUCCAUUAUGUUAAGCAACUGGGAAUUCAGUAUUUAUCUGUUAGAACAGCUAGCAUUACCUUAACGAAUACAAUUCCCUGUUGGGAAAUACUCCCUAAACACAAUUCCUCUCAAUCAAGGGGAAUUGAACGGUUUGAGUGGCACCAAGUUCAAGGUUAUGUUCCCUGACAGCUAGCAGGAGUGCAAAUAUUCUCUGUUGCAGGGAAGUGGGGAGGUGUAGAACCUCAUGUUUUAACAGUCACCCAAGGUGGGAGUAAGAUUAACAUACUCUUGUCAAAAUUGUGUCACCUUACAAGAACUCCUGCCUGAAUAGAAAGCUCUUUUAUCUCCUUUUGGAGAUAAGCCAGGAUGUACCUGUGGGUAAGGCCAAGAUUCUCUUCAGAAAGUCAUUUUGGAUCUACCUGAACACAUGGGACAAUGAUAACCAAGGCCACACAGCUUUAUACGGUGAAAUCUGCUCUAAUAAUUUUUGCCUGAAAGAAAAUGUAAAACAGCUGUAACCUUAUGACUGUUGUGCCCUUAAGAACAAAACAAAACUUGCACAGUUUACCUGUCCAAGUCCCCUUCUUUUUUAUUUUAAAACUACUUUAUUGGCCAGGUGUGGUGGCUCAUAUCUGUAAUCCCAGCACUUUGGGAGGCUGAGGCGGGCAGAUCACGAGGUCAGGAGAUCGAGACCAUCCUGGCUAACACAGUGAAACCCCGUUUCCACUAAAAAUACCUAGCCGGGCGUGGUGGCGGGUGCCUGUAGUCCCAGCUACUUGGGAGGCUGAGGCAGGAGAAUGACAUGAACCUGGGAGAUGGAGCUUGCAGUGAGCCGAGAUUGUGCCACUGCACUCCAACCUGGGCAACAGAGCAAGACUCCAUCUCAAAAAACAACAACAACAACAACAACAACAACAGCAAAACUACUUUAUUGAGGCAUGGUUGACAUGUAAGGAACUAUAUGUAUAUUUAAUGUAUACAACUUGAUGAGUUUGGGAAUAAGUGUCCAUCCAUAAAACCAUCUCCCUCCUCAAGGCCACAGACAUACCCAUCACCUCCCAAGGCUUCCAUGCCCCCUUUGCUAUUAUUAUUAUUAUUUGUGGUAAGAACACUUAACAUAAGAUCUACCCUCUUAGCAAGUUUUAAGAAUACAAUACAGUGUCGUGAGCUAUAAGCUGUAUAUGGUAUAGUAGAUCUCCAGAAACUGUACCCUUUGACCAUCCUAUCCCCAUUUCCCAUUUCCUCUCCCCUGACCUCCUGGCAACCACCCUUCUACUACUGCUAUAUGUUUGACUAAUUUAGAUUCCAUAUAUAAGUGAGAUCAUGCACUAUUUGUCUUUCUGUGCCUGGCUUAUUUCACUUCACACAAUGUACUACAGGUCCCUCCAUGUUAUUACACAUGGCAGGAUUUUCUUCUUUUUUAAGGCUGAAUAAUAUUUUAUUGUAUACAUAUACUGCAUUUUAUGUAUUCAUUUAUCCGUCAAUGGACACUCAGAUGGUGUCCCUUUCUUGACUAUUGUGAAUAAUGCUGCAAUGAACAUGGGAGCGUGGUUAUGUCUUUGAGAUUCUAAUGCUGAUUUAAAUUCCUCUGAAUAAAUACCAAGAACAAAGCUGAGGCCUCAUAUUUCCAGAUUUCAAAUUACAUUACAAAGCUAAAGUAAUCAAAACUGUAUAGUGCUGGUAUAAAUAUAGACACACAGACCAAUGGGACAAAAUAAAGAGCCAAGAAAUAAAUCUAUGCAUGUAAGGUUAACUGAUUUUCAACAAGAGCACCAAGAGUACAAACUGGUGAAAGAAUAGUUUCUUCAAUAAAUGGUGUUGGGAAAACUGGAUCUCCACAUGCAAAAGAGUGAAAUUGGAUCCUUAUAACAUACACAAAAAUGAACUCAAAAUGGACUCAAGACUUAAAUGUAACACCUGAAAACAUAAAACCUCUAGAAGAAAACACAGGAGAAAAGCUCUGUGACAGUGGUCUUGGAAAUACAUUUUUGGAUAUAACAGCAUGAACACAGG